GACAGAGGAGCCAAGCGUUGUCCGGAUUGACUGGGCGUAAAGCGCACGUAGGCGGCUUUGCAAGUCAGAGGUGAAAGCCCGGGGCUCAACCCCGGAAUUGCCUUUGAGACUGCAUCGCUAGAAUUGUGGAGAGGUAAGUGGAAUUCCGAGUGUAGAGGUGAAAUUCGUAGAUAUUCGGAAGAACACCAGUGGCGAAGGCGACUUACUGGACACAUAUUGACGCUGAGGUACGAAAGCGUGGGGAGCAAACAGG
rnacentral:rRNA from 1 species